UUUCCAGAUUUGAGACAUCGCUUCUUCCCCCAAAUGUCUUGACUGACAGUUGCCAUGUUUAUUUCUGGGACAAUCUUUCCUUCAGGAAUGGGAGGAGGAAGUUUCUGAGGCUCUGGUAGCAGUGGAACUGGAACUGGUAUAGGCACGGCGACUGUGUUCUCCUCCUGGGUCAAAUUUAUACUUGACUCUAUUAAACAAAAUUCUAUAAAUAUUUUCUUGCAGUUGAAUAAUAAAUUGUACAUAUAAUAAAACAA